GGUCACGCGGGCUGCCUUCUCAGGCCCAGGCUGGCAACGCCCUCCAGCCGGCUUGCCGAGGACUCCAGGGGACAGCCUCAGGGGUCUCCAGGCUGCCCUCUGUCGUCCUCCGCUCUGUGGCCGGGGCGUCCUCCUUUGUUGGUUUUGAGUGUCUGUGGGGAGGGGUGGUAGCUGGUGACCCUCAGACCCGCGCUCCGCCCGCCUGUCCAUGCAGCACUCCCCCUCCGCUCCGUCUCCUUCUUGGCCCUGCCCUGAGCUCCACCUGCCAGUCCUCCCGCAGGUUUAUACGGCCUCAUGAGCGAGCCCUGAAAGCCGAGUUCCGUGCCAUCGCUUUCCUGGGGGCGCGAUCCAGGGCCAGCGGGGAGGCCGGAGGGGCCUGGGGAGACCCCCCAACACCGUGGAUCAGCCUCCGGGUCCCUCUCUGCCACACAUGGGACAGGCCGUGUGAUCCGUGCCUCUGCUGCUGCUUCUGCUGUCCCUCUGCCUGGGGAAGCUGGUCACACCCGGGCCACAGCCCUCGCCCCUGGCCUCCCUCC
rnacentral:lncRNA from 1 species